UACGGGGGGAGCAAGCGUUGUUCGGAUUUACUGGGCGUAAAGGGCGCGUAGGCGGUCAGCACAAGUCAGUUGUGAAAUCUCCGGGCUUAACUCGGAAAGGUCAACUGAUACUGUGCGACUAGAGUGCAGAAGGGGCAACUGGAAUUCUCGGUGUAGCGGUGAAAUGCGUAGAUAUCGAGAGGAACACCUGCGGCGAAGGCGGGUCGCUGGGCUGACACUGACGCUGAUGCGCGAAAGCCAGGGGAGCGAACGGG
rnacentral:rRNA from 1 species